UUUUACUACAAAUACAAGUUUUGAAGCAAGAUAUACAAGAGUUUGCAAGCCACCACAAUAGACAUCUGGAUUUAUUUUUAAGACGCUGUAGGGUUAAAAUGGGGAUUUUGUAGUGGGAUUAAAUGCUGCCUCUUCCUCAAGAAACCUAAUCGACACCCUCUGAAUCAAACCCCCAUCCCUUGAUUAUCUCAGACAUUCAAUUCCUUCGAUCCUACUUUAAUUCAUCUUCUGGUUCCUCUCAACGUAUCACUCUCUGGAAACCUAAAAUCGCAUAGCUCCCUUCAAUCGCCAUGGCUGAUUAUAUUCAAAGGAGGGUAAGAUCUGAUUUGGUUACUACAUCAUCGUCGUCACCUGGGAUAGCUGAUUUGGAGAAUAAGCGUUGUUUUGGUGACAUAAGAAGGUUCAAUGGUUUAUAGAUUUUGGGAUUAUGCCCUUACUUCUUCUACAGUAGAUGAUUUUUGCCGUGUAACCACCAAUUCCAGCAGAAGGAUACUACUCUAUUUGGUGGUUUCAGCAAGCUCACAUCCUUAAUCUGAAUUAUCCACUCAUAAGGUUGGCUUUUUAUUUAUCGAUCUUUUAUUUCUAUUGUUUUAGUUAAUGCUUGGUCUAUAACUCUUGAAAAAAUAUUCUUGAAUGUGAUUGUUUGACCCGUUUUAAAAGAUUGUCAUUUGGAAGAUUUUGACCUGACUGUUUGCCCGUUUUAAAACAUUGUCAUUUGGUAGAUUUUGACCUGUUUGACCCGUUUUAAAUUUACUAAAAGGGUAUGUGCAACUCGUCAAAUAGAAUUUUUUUCACGGAUGUCCCAAAACAAAUGCAACAUUUUCUUAACAAAGUUUCAAUCUAUUGUCUUUCAGUAACUUUUGAGUGUUUUUUAGUCAAGCUCGAGUAGCUCGGCUCUCUUGCACCCCUGAAUUUUGGUUUCUAACCGAUUAAAAUCGAACCAAAUUUCGAAUUAGUUUCAAACCAAAACCAAAUUGAGUUUUCAGCUUUCAGUUUUGGGUAAUCUGAAUUUGUUUAAACUGGUGAAGCCGAACUGUGUUAUAUUGAUGGUCCCCUGGUACCAGGAAGACUAAUGGCUCGGCAGAUUAGAAAAAUGUUAAAUGGAAAGGAUCCAAAGGUACUCUAUGCAUCCGUUGACCUUUACCUUUUAAUGUUUCCUUUGGCAAAAAGAGGAUACCCAGAAGAAAUUGAAGAGUGGGGUAACAGAAUCAGAAACCACCUAAACCCGUCAGAGGUGGCAUACCCAUUUGUUUCCCACAAGUUUGAACUGAACAACCAUCUCUCAUUACCUUCUUCGUCUCAAUAAUGUACUCAUUAACUGUCAUCUAUGCAUAUUGCAGUUUGCAAAUUUUGGAACACGGGAGCAACAUGGAUUGGCCAGGAACAGGCUAUGGUCGCUAGACGAUGACCCUUCUCUUUUAACCCCAGCUAACAAUCAAUCAACUGCAGAUCUUUUACUGAAAUCAACAGAAGAGGAUCUGAAAACAUGGCCAUACAGAUUUGAGUUGCGGCUCCGCAUUACUUGAAGUACAUGUUGAGGGCUUACAGACGCUGGACUAUUUUGAUAAUAUGUCCAAGAGAGAAAGGUACACAGAACAGGCAGAUACCAUUACUUUUGAUGGUGAGAUUGAUCGUGUAUAUUUAAGUACACCUACUAAGAUCACCAUAAUUGACCAUGAGAAGAAGAGAACAAUCGUCUUACGUAAAGAAGGCAUGGUGGAUGCAGGUUGGUCAUCCUCUUCAGAAGGCUGUAAUAAAGGGGAUAUAAUGGACUUAUAAAUUUGAUGAGAAGACCAUGUCUAAUAAGAGGUGGCAGUACUGGUCAAAUUGUUUACAGUUUACAAAGCAGAUGAGUGGAUUGAUAUUAGGGGAUGAACAAAGAAUUUAACAUUUAUCUUUGUGGUUUGUUAGCUAUCAGACUAGAACCAAUCAAUACUAAUCGACAGUAUGGAUUUUUUUUGGGCUUACAAAAAUCUUAAUAUAAGGGCACCAUUUGUUCCUUCACAUUGUUUGCCUCAUGAAAAUUUAAAAAUCUAAACAUUCAGUCUCUGAAUAGUGAACCAUCGCUUGUCCAAAGUAAAGCUCCUGUAGCAGCUUUAACAUUAGAGGAGGUUUAAACCAGUAUACUACGGGUUAGGACAACCAAAAUGCCUUUUGUCCACCGGUCUCUAAAUCUUAUUGUAGUUGAUGUGAUCGCAUUAUGCGCUUCUUAUACGCGCAAUCUAAAUCUCAGCCGAGUAAAGGCAGGGAAGAAUUGGCCGCACUUGUGACAGACAAGUAUAUCGACUUGUCACUGAACCAUCUUUUUGGCCAAUUAGAGAAAUUUGAGCCACAAUCUAUUACGAAUAUCAUGUUCUCAUCGUGUAUUGUCGACUCCGCCGCAACGCGCGAGUUUCCCACUAUUAUGUUACUGUUAUGUUUGCGUCAUGUAUUAUCGACUCCGCGGCAACGCGCGGGUUUCCC